AACAGGGCGCUAAUGGGGCGCUAACAGGGCUGCCAAUGGGGCGCUAAAGGGGCCCUAACGGGGCGCCAUCCGGCCGGACCCCGACUCCUGGGGCCACCGGGGCGCGCGGCGGCGGCGCAGUGGCCGGUCGGGACCUGAAGAAACAGGACGGAGCCUGCCCCGGGGCCCCGGAGCCCUCGCGUGACACCCGGCGCGACAACACGCGAGCAGUUUAUGAGGAACUGGGGAAGGUGUGCAGGCCCCGUGCGCACAGGAUUUCUCCCAGGAACCCAAGGAAACUCCUGUGAUGUCCCAGGAACCCAAAGGACUAAGGUGGUGGCAUUCAGUAGGCUUCACCCUGCCUGUUUCCCGCUAGCAGAUGAUCACGGUCUUCUAUACCUUUUGUUCAACGUAUUGAAAACUUCUGUUCAAGAGAGAUGCUACCUCAUUCACCUUGAUUUCGACCCACGAGAUCUCGAACGUUCUCUGGAACUGGAACGAGAUCUUGACUGCGAACUGGAAGAACUUCUUGAACGGGACCUGGAACAACAUGGAAGGAUUUUUUUUUCCAGGACCACUUACAUGAACUUUGUGAUAUGAAAACUGAAAGAAAAAUACAUAUUAGAGUUCAUUUUCAUAUAAAAAGACAACUAUUUGAGAUACAUAUAUUUUCAAAAAUAUUUGAACUAAACAUUAUUUAAAUAUUUAUGCCAAAUUUAAGCUAAUAUAUUUUUUUAAAUCAACUACCACUUUCUAAAUUUGACUAAAUUACUCUAGAAGUCACUCAAUAUUGAACAAGUAAAAACACUAAGCAUUUUCACUUCAUUAACAUUGAAGACUCUCUGCUCACAAAUAGUUUUUAAAGCAACUCAGGACUUCACAUCCAGGAAUACUGAAUGUUGUUUAUAAUUUCUUUGACAGAGCUCUAGCAAUUUCCCUAAUAAAACUCCUUCUGUUUCCUUAGUCUCUAACAUGACACUUGAGAAGUAUGACGACAUGUGUAAGUCCAUUUGUUGUUUUUCUGUCUACUCAAAGGUUAGAGAAUUAAAAAGAAAAUACAUUAACAAUAAUGUCAUUGUCUUAGGUAAUUAUACUAUUGAAAAAUGAUACAUGGGGAGUUAUGGCCCUCUUAAAUUUUAAAAAAUCACAAAUUAAAUUCACUUACUAACCUAGUAUAUAAAUAACCUUUACCUCUUAAGAUAAUACCUUAUUGAAAAAGAUUACUAUUACAUUUACAUCUUAAAAUUACUAUCUUUAUAAUCACAAUUGUAUGCUCUCAGGCUUUAUAGUACUCAAACAAAAAUAUAUUAAGUAUUCAAAUAAGCUGUUUUUAUCCCUAAAUACCGUUAAAAUUCAUUGCCCAUGGUUUCACUGUACUGUGAAUAGGAAUUCUUCAAGAGAACAUUGCCUAUAUGAGGUACUGCUUUUGCUCGCCAAAAAUUUUAUUUUCAUUGUUGACUAAUCAGGUAAUUUUAUUGAAAUUUUACAUUUCUAGCAAUGUAAUAUUCAAGUACACCAACUAAAUCCUUUUUCCUGGACAUCUCAAAAUCAUGAGCAUUAGGGCAAUAAAACCACUAUGUCAGAAAUUUGCUCCUUUAUUCAAAAUACCUCUAACCAAAUUAUUAAACUAUUGUAUAUUAAAAGCAAUGUGUCUAAGAAGUGUCUAGAAAAGUGUCUAGAAAAUUUCCAUACUAGCCUUUAACAUCACUUUAUCUGAAAGUUCCUAAAUGUAAACUAUCUUUUAGUUAAUUAAAUCUCACUAUGUGUAAUGAUUUAAAUGAAUUUUUAAAGUCUACUUUAAGAAAGGCAUGGUGCUAAAAAUGAACCAAGGAAAUUUCACAUUAAAACUUUGCAAUUCUGAAAAUACUGGACAAUUACUUCAUGGCACUAAGAAAUAAUUAUUUUGUAAAUGUUGACUUGAAUA